GGAUUAGAUACCCGGGUAGUCCACGCCGUAAACGAUGAGUGCUAAGUGUUAGGGGGUUUCCGCCCCUUAGUGCUGCAGCUAACGCAUUAAGCACUCCGCCUGGGGAGUACGGUCGCAAGACUGAAACUCAAAGGAAUUGACGGGGGCCCGCACAAGCGGUGGAGCAUGUGGUUUAAUUCGAAGCAACGCGAAGAACCUUACCAGGUCUUGACAUCCCGUUGACCACUGUAGAGAUAUAGUUUCCCCUUCGGGGGCAACGGUGACAGGUGGUGCAUGGUUGUCGUCAGCUCGUGUCGUGAGAUGUUGGGUUAAGUCCCGCAACGAGCGCAACCCUUGAUCUUAGUUGCCAUCAUUUAGUUGGGCACUCUAAGGUGACUGCCGGUGACAAACCGGA
rnacentral:rRNA from 1 species